AAAGAAAAAAGUUCUUUCGCAUGAUAGCAAUGUUUUUCGGGUGACAAUAAUUUAUACCAUUUUUGAGUGAAAUUAAAGAAAAAAAACUUAAUGUAAAAAGCCAAACUAUGGCAUGUAUUUUAGAUCGCUAGCUGCCUUUUCUGUUAAUAAAACGAUACAAACGACGACAAAGAUGGUUUCUUGGAAAUAUUUGAUGUUAUUGGUGUUAAUAGGGGAUACUUAUUCCGCUGAGUAUCUGCCUGAGGAUUAUCUUAAUGAAGUCUGUCCAAUAUACGAUAAAGUGGUGGAUGAUAUUUGUUUAUAUCUCGAAAGGAGCGCCGGAAUCGAGCUUGUUAAUAGGGAAACCAUGUGUGCCAUGUCUUGCGAGGGAUUGAUUAUUAGAGGACUCUAUAGUGCUCCGGUCCAUGAAAACGUUAUACGAAAAUUUAAGAAAGUAUAAAUCUAUUAAACGAAAACACCGGUCUAACUCAAUGAUGAUAAGGAGGCCAAAUAAGAAUUUUCUGAGACGCAAAUAAAUGACGAUCAAUCCGCCCAAAAUACAGCGGUACUUGUUUUAUGAGUACGGAAUGACUUGCCUUUCACUUUUUGAUAUCGUUUCAACUACAGUUUGGAAAACAUUCCAUUAUGCUUUAUGUUUGAGAAACCCGAUUAAAAUGAUUAUGACAUUAAUUCAAAGGGAGUGCUGAACAGUUCAGUAUCAGUUUUCUUUACAGCCUAUGAGAAGUUGAAAUGAUAACACAACAAUAAUAAGUUAUCAAUUUUCUCUAGUUUUGGUGUAGUUUUUUAAUAACUCGCAAUCUUUUGAUUAAUUUAAGACAAUCAAUCAUCAUUUCUGUUGUGGCAAGGUGAAUUGAAUUGAAGUCGCAAGCAUAUGUGAAGCAUCUGGGAAAAAUUGGUUGUUGAGACACCAGCU